UCAUAAAAUUCACAUAUCAGAUGCGUUAGUAAGAACAAUUAGUGUGCCGUGCAUGGAAACUUGCUCUGGAAUCAUUGACUAAAGUGGUUUACAGUCUCUCAGCAGUGGAGAAUGAAGAUGAAGACUGAUUUUAAACUUGCGUGUAGCAAAGGAAAUUGUUAAACGUUUACUACCUGACCGCCAGUGUCAGAAUCUCGGCCAAGUUCCAUGUUUUCUCCACGCACCAACCCAUGAAGACUGCAUAGUAAACAGUCAACAGUGCAUGAAACUCAGCUGAUAAAUUACUCCAAGUUCUGUCCAGUUUGAGAAUUUUGUUAAUUUUGGUUGUCAAGAGAGGCGUGAAAAUAGCAACAGGUGUUGUGCUUAUUCUGUUACUUAUCAAUGCUUUCUGUGAACAAUUUCUUGUUUGGCCUUUUCCGCUUGCAUCAAUAUAUGGAAUCAGAGAACAAAAAUACCUAAUCAA